rnacentral:lncRNA from 1 species
AAAAAAGAUCGGUCUUUCUUCUUCCAGUCGGAAUACCCUCGGAGUGGAUUCGAAAAUCCCGUGCGGUUCCCUGUUCAGUCAACGUUUCAUCAUGAUCUAGUGUGGUGAAAAGGAACCAGUUGAAAGGCGGUUCCCUGUUCAGUCAACGUUUCAUCAUGAUCUAAUGCAGUGAAAAGGAACCAGUUGAAAAUGGAGGACCAGAUACGAUUUUACAAUACGUACUUGUAAAGACUAAAGACUACGUACUUAGAUUUACCCAUUAAUUGUUGGAGAUUUUCGGUGUAAAUCUAGCGGUUGAACAAAUUGAACAUCGCAGUCAUGAAUAAUAAAAAUGAAAAUUAUUUUUGAGAUCGUUUGGGUAUUUUGGUUUAAAAGGUCGGACCAUCGCUAGUUUGAACCCACAGGCACUUGUUUCUAGAAGUUCUAUUUAUAUGGAUAGUCGACCUUCCUAUGGAUAGAAACCAGUGCCCGUGUUUGAAAUCCCUGUUUCAGACAGUCAGUGAGGUUGACGGCGGGUCAACUUUGGUUCAAGUGUUGAUCAGAAAGUCUGAGACCCGUUGAAAGGGGCUGUUUUAGUUCCAUUACAGGUACUAGUCCAAAUAAUUAUGACGUCUGGCAAGGCUUCCUGGCAUCCCAGAUUUGUUUUUAAAUAGCCUUGCCAGACGUCACUAAAGGGAAGGAUCUUUUAACUUGCUGCCAGGGAUGGGUGUCAUUAAUUGGCCUUAUUAUAUAAAUACCUUCCCACGGUACCCAUUAAGAUUUAAUGGAACAGAGAUGGGGUAUGGUGAACAAUAUCCCAACACAAAAUCAGAACAUGUAUUACUGUCAUAGAAUGCAGGACAAUUAAAAUCACUUCAACAUUUAUAAAAAGGGACAAUCACAGGACACUUCGAGAUAUAAGCUAAUACUUAUAGCAGUGUAAAAUAGCAUAAAAAGCCUAAAAAGGACAUGUUUUCAUGUACCACAUAUGAAGGC